GAUGCGACCUCAGCUCAGGCGGGGCUACCCGCUGADUUUAAGCAUAUCAAUAAGCGGAGG
rnacentral:rRNA from 1 species